rnacentral:lncRNA from 1 species
AACAAUCGUUAGGAAGAGCGUCGCCCUCCACGCCUUCUGAGCAGCUCCAGUUUCGUAGCGCCCUCGUGUGUCUGGAGGAAGAAACGUCCUGGAUUUGAGUUUGACAGUGGUACUAGGGCACAGGGAGAAGGAAGUCGGGUCAGGCAUUGGAACUUUUUACAGGGGCCAGGAAUGAAUGUGAGAACUCAAGAUGCUUUCUUGAUGCCUUCUCAGAGGUGACUCAGUGGCGGCGCGUGAAAGGAUCCAGAAGAAACCACAAGCAGUCGAAAUCCAAGGCACCUGUCUUCUCCAAAAGUUGUUGAAGUCACUUCCAUGUCUGCAUGCCCACCAGUUAUGGUUGUGUAUAACCAUGUGAAUUAACUAUUGGAGAAUUAUCAUCUAUUUUGACUUUGGAAACUAUUGAUACGGUCUAAGGGUUUUGGAAUGAUAUAGUCUAGGAGUCUUGGUCAGGUUUGUUGUUUCUGCCAGCCGAAGAAUUAAAAGGCAGGAAAAAUCUGAAGACCAGCAUGGAGCAGCAGAGAAAUCUUAAGCAUCGUGGAUAGAAUUAGGAGUAGAAGGAAGGUGUGGGGUGACAAGCAGCUGGGGACAUCCUUCAUCCCUCAG